CUCAUUGGAAAGUGGGUCUCAUUGGGGUCUAAGCUUGACGCGGGAUUGCCGAUUUUUCGUAAGCGUGAUACGUAAAAGUCAAAUUAUUGUGCCGUGAAAACGAGAAAUGAGGUCUUGCGGGACAUGGGAAAUUACAAAAAAAUCAAAAUUGCUUACGUACAUAGUGUUAGCGGGAUACGGGAAUCUGACAAAUCACUAAGCGAGAUCAGGGAUCAGAACCCCCCAAUGAAACACCAUGGAAAACAUAAUCAUAGCUUAGCAAUUUAUUUGAAGUCUUUUCUUUAAAAUAUAACGUAAAGAUAAGGUAAAGAGUAAAUUUGAGACUGUAGAUAAAUAAAUAUAUAUGUAAGACAAAGGAAAGAACUGACAACACCAAAAGAAAAGGAAAUAACAGACAACAACAAAAGACAAAGGAAAGAACUGACAACACCAAAAGACAAGGGAAAGAACUGACAACACCAAAAGACAUAGGAAAUAACAGACAACAACAAAUUAAAGACAAAUGACAGAACUGACAACAACAAAAGACAAAUGAAAGAACUGACAACAACAAAAGACAAAUGACAGAACUGACAACAACAAAAGACAAAUGAAAGAACUGACAACAACAAAAGACAAAACUGACAACACCAAAAGAUAGAGGAAAGAACAGACAACACCAACAGACAGAGGAAAGAACAGAGAACACCAAAAGACAAAGAAAAGAACAAACAACACCAAUGCUAAACAAAAUAGUUACUAGUACAUGAUGUUUGAAAGUCACAAUUGACUUCGUUCCCGUCUCUCAAGUUUUUGUCCAUUAAAAGGACGUCCGCGUUUUUGAGCUGCUGUAAAAUCUAUCAUUUUUUUCAAAACUGUCUUCAUCGAAUUAACUAAUGAUGUGCAUGUCAUGUGAAGUUGUUUGAGGAUAUUAUCGCAAAACAUGCUAAUAGUAUGCCCCCAAAAAAUCAAAUAUAAGUUUUUUUACGAUCUUUUUAUUCUUUAACUCACUCCUUAGAC
rnacentral:lncRNA from 1 species